rnacentral:rRNA from 1 species
GCAAUGGAGGGACGCAGGAGGCUAAGAAGUGCAGACUGAUGGAUAUGUCUGUUCAAGCAGUAAGUCUUGGUAGGAGUCAAAUGCUUCUACCUAUACGGACAAGCUGUGAUGAGGAGGGAAAUAAUAGUACCGAAGCUUCUGAUGUCACACUGCCAAGAAAAGCUUCUAGUGAGAAAACAACGGCCCGUACCGCAAACCGACACAGGUAGUCGAGGAGAGAAUCCUAAGGUGAGCGAGAGAACUCUCGUUAAGGAACUCGGCAAAAUGACCCCGUAACUUCGGGAGAAGGGGUGCUGAUCAUACGAUCAGCCGCAGUGAAUAGGCCCAAGCGACUGUUUAUCAAAAACACAGGUCUCUGCAAAAUCGUAAGAUGAAGUAUAGGGGCUGACGCCUGCCCGGUGCUGGAA